GGCUCUUUGUCUAGUUCUUAUAAAGAGUCAGACCUGCCCAGUGAAUUUUUUCAACGGCCGCGGUACUCUGACCGUGCGAAGGUAGCAUAAUCAUUUGCCUUUCAAUUGGAGGCUAGUAUGAAAGGUUUGACGAAAGCCAAGCUGUCUCCUGUUAAAUAAAAUAAAAUUGACUUUUAAGUGCAAAGGCUUGUAUUUAACUAGAAGACAAGAAGACCCUAUUGAGCUUUAAAAUUUAAAAAGACUAAAGUAUAUUAUAGCAAAAUUCUAAUUCUUUUAAACUUUUUAGUUGGGGCGACUUUGGAACAAUAGCAGCUUCCUAAAAUUAAGAAUACUUUUAAGUUUUGAUCCAAAAACUUUUGAUUAAUAGAAUUAGUUACCAUAGGGAUAACAGCAUAAUUCUUCUUGAGAGUCCUAAUCGAAAGAAGAGAUUGUGACCUCGAUGUUGGACUAGAAUACCCUAAAGGUGCAGAAGUUUUUAAAGGUUGGUCUGUUCGACCAUUAAAAUUCUACAUGAUCUGAGUUCAGACCGGCGUGAGCCAGGUCAGUUUCUAUCUUUAGUUUUUUUAGCAGCCUUAGUACGAAAGGAUCAGGCUGAAAAAGUAUAAAGCUUUUUUCUCUGAUGAUGUAUAAUAAAAAAUUAAAUUUUAUAUAUUUAUG
rnacentral:rRNA from 1 species